rnacentral:rRNA from 1 species
ANCGAACAGGAUUAGAUACCCUGGUAGUNCACGCCGUAAACGAUGAGUGCUAGGUGUUAGGCCCUUUCCGGGGCUUAGUGCCGCAGCUAACGCAUUAAGCACUCCGCCUGGGGAGUACGACCGCAAGGUUGAAACUCAAAGGAAUUGACGGGGGCCCGCACAAGCGGUGGAGCAUGUGGUUUAAUUCGAAGCAACGCGAAGAACCUUACCAGGUCUUGACAUCCCGAUGCCCGCUCUAGAGAUAGAGUUUUACUUCGGUACAUCGGUGACAGGUGGUGCAUGGUUGUCGUCAGCUCGUGUCGUGAGAUGUUGGGUUAAGUCCCGCAACGAGCGCAACCCUUAUUGUUAGUUGCCAUCAUUCAGUUGGGCACUCUAGCGAGACUGCCGGUAAUAAACCGGAGGAAGGUGGGGAUGACGUCAAAUCAUCAUGCCCCUUAUGACCUGGGCUACACACGUGCUACAAUGGCUGGUACAACGAGUCGCAAGUCGGUGACGGCGAGCUAAUCUCUUAAAGCCAGUCUCAGUUCGGAUUGUAGGCUGCAACUCGCCUACAUGAAGUCGGAAUCGCUAGUAAUCGCGGAUCAGCACGCCGCGGUGAAUACGUUCCCGGGCCUUGUACACACCGCCCGUCACACCACGAGAGUUUGUAACACCCGAAGUCGGUGAGGUANCCUUUU